rnacentral:rRNA from 1 species
GUACGCUGGCGGCACGCCUAACACAUGCAAGUCGAACGAAGUAGCAAUACUUAGUGGCAGACGGGUGAGUAACAUGUAGGUAUCUGCCCUUUGGCCUGGAAUAACACGAGGAAACUUGUGCUAAUACCGGAUAAGUCUUUACGGAGAAAGCUUUAUGCACCACUGGAUGAGCCUGCACUUGAUUAGUUUGUUGGUAGGGUAAUGGCCUACCAAGACUGUGAUCAAUAGCUGAUUUGAGAGGAUGAUCAGCCACAUUGGGACUGAGACACGGCCCAAACUCCUACGGGAGGCAGCAGUGGGGAAUCUUGCACAAUGGAGGAAACUCUGAUGCAGCGAUGCCGCGUGAGUGAAGAAGGCCUUUGGGUUGUAAAGCUCUUUCGUCGGGGAAGAAAAUGACUGUACCCGAAUAAGAAGGUCCGGCUAA